rnacentral:lncRNA from 1 species
AUGCUCUUUAUGAAAACCAGUUUAAAUGAUUUAUUUUUGGCUUCCUGUUUGUAGCCAGAUUUUUAAAUAGGCAUGAUUGAUAGAAAAAUGUUGUAUCUAUGUGUGCCGUUCAGUAAUUGAUGGAGUUAAUGAGAAAAAUAUGCUUUCAUUUUGCUACAUUGAUAUCAGAUUAUCUGACAUAAGGAAGGGUUUUUUGUUAUAAAGAACCUAGAUCUUGAAUUUUUAACUUUUUUUACCAUACGUUAACUCAAGAUUGGAUCCCUUUUGAUAUUAAUAUAUAUUUAUUAUAUCUAUAUAUAUAUUACACACAUGUAUUUUGUUAUACAUUAUAACAUGUAUAAGUUUAUAUAAUAUGUAAUAUAGAUAAAUAUAUUUGUGUUAUAAUUAUAUUUUUUGUUAUAGAUGAUAACACAUACAUAUAUACAUAACUAUAUAUAAUUUUAUAUGAUAAAUAUAUGUAAUGUAUGAUUAUAAUACAAUAUAAUAUUUGAUUAUGCUAUAUAUCAUAUUAAUAUGAUAUUAAUCAUUAAUAUGAUAUAUAAGUGACAUACUUAUAUUUAUUAUUGUUUAUAUUAUACAUAUAUGUGUGUGUGUUAUUUUUUAAUUUUGUUUUGUUUUGUUUUUUUUUUGUUUUUUCGAGACAGGGUUUCUCUGUAUAGCCCUGGCUAUCCUGGAACUCACUUUGUAGACCAGGCUGGCCUCAAACUCAGAAAUCUGCCUGCCUCUGCCUCUGCCUCCCAAUUGCUGGGAUUAAAGGUGUGUGCCACCACCGCCCAGCUAUAUAUAUGUUAUAUAUGAUAUAUUUUGUAUAAUGUAUAAAAAUAUACAUGUUUAUAUCAUUUUUAUAUUUAUUGUAUAUACUAUAUUAUUUAUAUAAUAGUAUAUACAAUAAUUAUAUACUGUAUAUAAAUGUAAUAUAUUAUAAAUUUAUAUAUCUAAAUAUAUUAUAUUAUAUUUAUAUAUAUAACAUAUAUAUUUAGUCAGUUUUUAUAAUUGCCACUAGCCACAAAACAAAGAUAGAGCAAUUUUGAAAUUACUUCGACAUUGCUUUAAUAAAGCAUUGUGAAAAUUUUCUCAUGAUUCAAUGUUAUAGAUGUCACCAUUGUAAAAAAGGAACACAUCAAUAGGUGGUUUAUAUUUAUUUUUCAAAAUAUAUUCAUUCAUGUAUCUUAUGUAUCUGAAUGCUCUAUUAUGCACAUCAGAAUAGGGUCUCAGAUCCCAUUACAGAUCACUGUGAGCCACCAUGUGAUUGCUGGAAAUUGAACUCAAGUCGUGAAGAGUCAAGGGCUGUUGACUGCUGAGCCGUCACUCUAGUCCCAAGUAGUUUAUAGUUUAACUUACGACCAUUCCUACAUGCUUAAAGUGAUUCAGAUCAUGAUAAAGGUAAAAUGAUUUUGGAUUGGGGGCCGUGGGGAGACAGAGUUUCUCUGUAUUGUUUAGGUCAGCCGUGAACUCAUGCUGCUCAGCUCCCUACGUGUGUGUAAUUACAAGCAUGCACCACAGAGCCCAAAGGCAUUCUAAAACUUUUAUUAAUUUUUAGCAUCUGCCUCUAUAAGAAAAAUGUAUGAAAAACUCAUUUUAUCUAUACCAGGUAACCAUUUUACAUUAUUUUAUUUGUAAAUACUUGGCUCCUCUGUAUAAUGGAAAGGGAUCCUAAAAUGUAUUUUCUUCUCAGAUAAAAACUACAGUGUGGGGGGAGCAGCAGGCAACUACCGCUCGUCUGGCUGUAGUGCAGUCUCAUCAGAAACAGCACCCGGGAGCUCCAUUGUUAAUUACUGUGUCUUGAGAGAGUUCUCAGAGGUAAGAGAGCCUGUCAACUGCUUCGAUGAUUUCUAAGGUCGAGAAGAAACAAGUACUGUGUUUAUAUAUAGUGUGUAUAGUAGGGUAUGGUAUAGUGUUGGCAAGAACAUGGUGACUUACAAAUGUAAUCUCUCAAGGGGUCUGUGUGUUGACUAGUCUCUGUAGGCAGUGUUCCCCAGUGUGUCUUCUAUAGCCAUGGUCUGUCUUUGAGGAUUGUUUACUUUGAGAAAUUGCCUAAAUUUGUUGCUUUUCAAAUUAAAGGAAACAACUAUCCAGAAAAUGG